AAAGACAUUUUCUUGGUAGGAAUAAUGAAAAAAAAAAAGUUGAUCGUUCGAUCCAAAGAUAUAUAAUAAGAGAACUGAAUUUGAAGACCAAAUAUGUUUUUACCAACAUUUAUUAAUGCCACAUAUAAUACCAAAUAUUAAGCAUUUCUAGUUGGUGUUGUAGGAAUGAAGGUGGAGUGGCCAGAGCUAAAAGGAGUGAAUGGAAUCGAAGCGAAGAAAAAGAUAGAAAGUGAUAAUCCACAUGUGACUGCUUUUAUAUAUCCUCAAGAUAUCUAUCUACCAGCCAUCAAUUGUUGUAAUCGUGUUAUCGUCUAUUGUCUAUGUUCCAAGCGACGAUUGCCCCAACGGUCCAGUCACCAACAGUCCUAUUAUUGGAUAAUCUCAUCCUUGAUGCUA